CAGCAGCCGCGGUAAUACGUAGGUGGCAAGCGUCGUCCGGAAUUAUUGGGCGUAAAGGGCUCGCAGGCGGUUUCUUAAGUCUGAUGUGAAAGCCCCCGGCUCAACCGGGGAGGGUCAUUGGAAACUGGGAAACUUGAGUGCAGAAGAGGAGAGUGGAAUUCCACGUGUAGCGGUGAAAUGCGUAGAGAUGUGGAGGAACACCAGUGGCGAAGGCGACUCCCUGGUCUGUAACUGACGCUGAGGAGCGAAAGCGUGGGGAGUGAACAGGAUUAGAUACCCCUGUAGUCCCUGUCUCUUAUAC
rnacentral:rRNA from 1 species